ACUCUCGGCAACGGAUAUCUCGGCUCUUGCAUCGAUGAAGAACGUAGCGAAAUGCGAUACUUGGUGUGAAUUGCAGAAUCCCGUGAACCAUCGAGUCUUUGAACGCAAGUUGCGCCCGAAGCCAUCAGGUUGAGGGCACGUCUGCCUGGGCGUCACGC
rnacentral:rRNA from 1 species